AGAGCCCUUUUCACUUUACCAUGUAGAUAUACAGGUAUCUAUAUUGGUCAUUCAAAAGGGCCAUAUUAAAUAUCCUCUUAAAACCCAAGCCAUAUUUCUUAAUUGGCUUUGGAUCCUGUCAGGGGAGAUACUG